rnacentral:rRNA from 1 species
AUGAACGCUGGCGGCGUGCCUAAUACAUGCAAGUCGAGCGAACGGACGAGAAGCUUGCUUCUCUGAUGUUAGCGGCGGACGGGUGAGUAACACGUGGAUAACCUACCUAUAAGACUGGGAUAACUUCGCGAAACCGGAGCUAAUACCGGAUAAUAUUUUGAACCGCAUGGUUCAAAAGUGAAAGACGGUCUUGCUGUCACUUAUAGAUGGAUCCGCGCUGCAUUAGCUAGUUGGUAAGGUAACGGCUUACCAAGGCAACGAUGCAUAGCCGACCUGAGAGGGUGAUCGGCCACACUGGAACUGAGACACGGUCCAGACUCCUACGGGAGGCAGCAGUAGGGAAUCUUCCGCAAUGGGCGAAAGCCUGACGGAGCAACGCCGCGUGAGUGAUGAAGGUCUUCGGAUCGUAAAACUCUGUUAUUAGGGAAGAACAUAUGUGUAAGUAACUGUGCACAUCUUGACGGUACCUAAUCAGAAAGCCACGGCUAACUACGUG